rnacentral:lncRNA from 1 species
CUCCUCCUACUCCCCCUCCGCCGCGCCACCUUCUGCGUGCCGCGUGGAAGCGGCGGCGGUGGAGGAGGACUCCAUGGCGCGGGGGAGGAGGCGACAGGUGCGGGAGGAGGCGAGCGGCGAGAGGAGGAGGAGGAGGCGGCGGAGGGCUGCGAGAGGGGGGUGAAGCAUGGGCGGCGCACGGUGCCUGAGAGGAGAGAGCGUGG